UACGAGGGGCUAGCGUUGUUCGGAAUCACUGGGCGUAAAGGGCGCGUAGGCGGCUAAUCAAGUCGGGGGUGAAAGCCUGUGGCUCAACCACAGAAUUGCCUUCGAUACUGUUUGGCUUGAGACCGGAAGAGGACAGCGGAACGUAGCGAGUGUAGAGGUGAAAUUCGUAGAUAUUCGCGAAGAACACCAGUGGCGAAAGGCGGCUGUCUGGUCCGGUUCUGACGCUGAGGCGCGAAAGCGUGGGGAGCAAACAGG
rnacentral:rRNA from 1 species